GAUAACGUAGCAGCCAAUCAACCCGUUUUGUGUCUGUGCGUCGACCCUUUAUAAUUCUCCCGCCGCACGCAGGCACACAAUACUCUCUCUAAGCGGCUUUCGCUCAUUCCACGUGCGUGAUCGAAGGGGAAAACAACAUCCGAAGCACACGCAUCACGCACGCGUUCUCUUCACCGCCAUGCCUGCCUACAGCGACGCUGAUGUGGCGGCGCUGAACCGCAUGUUGAAGGAGCUGCGCCGUCACCCCGACGACAUCCAUCUCCGUGAGCUUAUCGCUCUCAAAGAGUGGGCGAUGGAGGUCGGCGCCUGCUUUCCUGCUGCUGCCGCGCCUCCGGCGUCGGCUGCGGCGGCCGCUGCCCAGGGCGAUGCCGAGAGCGAGUCCGAUGAUGAGCGCUGGACGCUGAGCGAUGGGGAGCCGGAGGCGAUCCCUGCGAAGAACGGAGAGCCGUCUGAUGCAGACGUGGAUGCCGCCAUGGCUGCAAAGGGCGAGGCCGUGGAGCUGCACGGCGAAGGCAAGCAGGAGGAGGCGAUCGCCAAAAUGGGCGAGGCGCUAACGUACAACCCCAGCAAUGCCAUGUACUGGGGAAUGCGCGCGCUGUAUCACCUGGAAUUCAACAAGCCGCGCGCGGCCCUGCACGACGCCAACAAGGCUCUCGAGCUCAAUCCGCAGAACGUGCGCGCGCUGCGUGUGCGCGGCACCGUGAACCGCCACCUUGGCCACUGGGAGGACUCCCUGAAGGACCUCAGCGCCGCCCAGGCGAUCGAUUACGAUGACAAGACGAACGAAACGCUCAAGUACGUCCAGUCCCGCGCCACACACCGCCACAGGCGCCAACUGUUGCGGCAGCACGCUGAGGAGGAGGCCGCUGCAAGACGGCAGGAGGAGCUGCGCCGUCAGCGCCAGAUGGAAGCCGAGAAGGCUGCAGCGGCUGCGGAGGCGCAGACGGCGUCGGGGAGCAUGCCCGGUGGCAUGCCUCGCGGCUUUCCUGGUGGCGUGCCUGGCGGGAUGCCGGGAGGGAUGCCGCCUGGUAUGGAGUCCGUCCUACAGGACCCCGAGAUCAUGGCCGCCAUGCAGGACCCCGAGGUGGCGCCGAAACUGGCUCAGAUGAUGCAGAACCCCAUGGCCGCGAUGAGCAUGAUGAACGACCCAAAGGUGGGCCCUGUCAUGCAGAAGAUCAUGGCGAAGAUGAUGGGCGGAGGAGGUAUGCCAGGCGGCAUGGGUGGCAUGGGUGGCAUGGGCGGUAUGGGUGGCGGGAUGCCGGGUGGCUUUCAGGGUGCUGGUGGCGUGCCCCCUCACCGUGGUGCUGCUGACGGCGCGUCGGGUUCAACCCGGAGAGACGAUCUCGACUAAGACUGCAGGUGGCACGGCAGACCAAGUUCGAGGAAGGUGGAGAAUAGAACCAAGCGUGGAAUGCACUUGAUCGAACAGCCGUGGUCCCCCGCUUUACCGCAGCGUGCUUUCGUCUAUUAAGGAGUGGCAUCUAAACCAUCGCAUGCAUAUCCUCUCUCUCCCUCUUUCGGUUAUCUGUGCCCCCUGCGCCUUCUCUCUCCCCUCUGGUUCGCCUCUCUUGCACGCCUUCUCGCUUCUGUAUAUCGCUUCUUCUAACGCUUUACUUGUUUUGUUUCUCGCCUUUUCUUUUUCAUGCUUCUCUUGUCGUUUUGAUGCACACAUGCACUGCACCUCCUCUCCCUCCACCACCCUCUGUGUCUGUGUGUGUUUCUCUCUCUCGCCACGCGACAGCAUGGAGGUCUGGCGCGCGUGUUUGUGUGUGUGUGUGUGGGGGGGGGCUGGCGAUGGAGUUGGUACUUGCACCGCCUGUUCACCGGCCAGCAGUAUUUCUUUCGGCUCGGGUGUGUGCAUUAUUGCUCUUUGCGGUCCCUUCCCUCGCUCAGGUCUCUGCGGAAGGUGGACGGCAGCCAUGUCUCAGCACCGUGGCCGAAUCGCGAUACUCCUUUAUCUCCUCUGGUUCCUAAAUACCUCGUAUAGGCGCGUCGCAACGCCCGACAGUCUGCGCAAGAAAGGGAGCGAGUGCAGACGGCAAGGACUCAUCCAGAGGUAAAAGACAACAGCCCUCUAUGUCUCGCUCGCAAGAGCUUGCUAGGCGGAUGUGCGCACGUAGUUGGGCGAGUGGAAUGGAAGCACAUCUUCUCCUCUGGCUAGCCUCAUGCCAGGCUGGCACCUGGCUGGUCUCUCCUAGUUAGCGGUCGCGCUUAUCACCCGCGCCGAGGCGCGACUGCUGAUAUGUGCUUGCAAGCGUGACGCGGAAUACUGCGCAGGGCUUCUCGUUUUUUUUUUUUGUUUCACGGAUCUGGCUUUUGUGACGGGAUUGCUCAGCAUAUCUCUUGCUGUGCCGUCAUCUCUUCG
rnacentral:misc_RNA from 1 species